AUGAUGCACACCGUGCUCGACACCGACCUCCGCUUCGGCGUCGUCUUCGCCGGCUCCGACGGCGCCUCCGACGUCGGCUGCGUCGGGGAGGUCGUCAAGCACGAGCGCCUCGCUGACGACCGCUUCUUCCUCAUCUGCAAGGGCCAGGAGCGGUUCCGCGUCGCCCGCAUCGUCCGCAACAAGCCUUACCUCGUCGCCGCCGUGCAGUGGCUCGAGGACCGCCCGCCCGCGGAGACGCCGGCCCCUGGGGAGGACGCCGAGGCGCUCGCCGUCGAGGUCGAGGCGCUCAUGCGCGACGUCAUACGCAUCGCCAACCGCCUCAACGGCAAGCCCGAGAAGGAGGUCGGGGACCUGCGCCGGGGGCUCUUCCCCACCCCAUUCUCCUUCUACGUGGGCAACACCUUCGAGGGCGCGCCCAGGGAGCAGCAGGCGCUGCUCGAGCUUGAGGACACCGCCGCGCGGCUGAGACGGGAGCGGGACACGCUCCGCAACACUCUCAACUACCUUACCGCCGCGUCUGCCGUCAAGGACGUCUUCCCCUCGUCGCCGUCGUCGGGGUGA
rnacentral:rRNA from 1 species